AACCCUGUCUCGAAAAACCAAAAGUAACAAGAACAAAAAAAAAAAAUCAAAUCAUCACUGAUUUACUAAAUAAACUCUAUCCAACUAAGUAUGACAUGUGACUUCCUACUUAAGGUCUCAAGUCCCUGGCAUUGUGAUUAGGUAAUAACCAUUGCAACAACCCCUGAAACACCUGCAUUAAUCUUCUUGACAGGUCACUUAAGAGAAAUUGAAUCCUCCAAAAGAAGCACAUGACCAGCUAUUGCUACUGACUAGAAUACUGUUUAGGGCAUGAGGAUGAUGAUGAUGAUGAUGAUGAUGAUGAUGAUGAUGAUGAUGUGGGUUUCUCUUGCUAUUACCUUUUGCCUGCUUACAUGUUUUGUGUUAAGAUAAGAUCUCUGGUAGCUCAUGUUAGCCCUGAACUCGAGAUCCUCCUGCCUCCACACCUCAAGUGUCUGCCACCCCACCCAGUUUGGUUUUGUUUUACAGUGGUAAGAAGGAAUUGGGCCCUGUCCUAAAGUGACAAUGACGUGUGAAUGACGUGUUUUUUUGUUUCUUUGCAUACCCUGCUCCACUGCUGGAACCCUGUUCAACCACCUCCGUCUCUGGGCUGAGUCCUUUCCCUCCUGCAACCAACCGGAAGCCAUCUGGUGUGGAGAGAGAUACUUCAGCACCCUAUCACAGUUUACUACUUUGGGAGGCAGGAUUGGAGUGGAGGUAGGGGUUGUCACAGAAGUCUUUCUCAACUGUGUGUCUGCAGUCAUCGAUAUCACUGUCAAAGUAGCUUAUUUGCUGUUUUCGGUCCGAGGGAGCAACGGAUUAUGGGCUUUUACAUGGUUUCUGACAUCAGCACAGGGAACGAACUCGGCAACUGGGCUCCGCGGCCUGCAAUAUGAACAUGGACCCUGACAGAGGUCUCGGAUGCAGAUGGGGUCAUGGACAUCAACAUGGCUUCAGGCUGCAACAUAGACCACAGAAAUCUACCCGACCUUCAGUGGCAACGCAGGCCAGAAGAUGGAAUAUUAAUUGAGAAGUUGCUCCAUUAGAUUGACCCAAAAGCAAGUCUGUCGGGCAAUUUCUUGGUUAAUGAUUAAUGCGGGAGGGCCCAGCCCACUAUGCAUGGUGCCAUUCCAUGCCAGAGGUCCUUCCUGGGAGGUAUCAGAAAGCAGACUGUGCCAGUAAGAAACACCCCUCCACACAGUCUGCAAGAACUCCCGCCAGAGCGCUUGCCCUGGCUUCUCUCAGCAAUGGAGUACGCCCUGGAGGGUGUAAAGCUGAAAUAAAGCCUUUUCUCCCCA